rnacentral:rRNA from 1 species
CAGCAGCCGCGGUAAUGCGAAGGGGGCUAGCGUUGCUCGGAAUGACUGGGCGUAAAGGGCGCGUAGGCGGAUUGCGCAGUCAGAUGUGAAAUUCCUGGGCUUAACCUGGGGGCUGCAUUUGAGACGCGUAGUCUAGAGUGUGAAAGAGGGUCGUGGAAUUCCCAGUGUAGAGGUGAAAUUCGUAGAUAUUGGGAAGAACACCGGUGGCGAAGGCGGCGACCUGGUUCAUAACUGACGCUGAGGCACGAAAGCUAGGGGAGCAAACAGGAUUAGAUACCCCUGUAGUCCCUGUCUCUUAUAC